AACGAACGCUGGCGGCAUGCCUAACACAUGCAAGUCGAACGAGACCUUCGGGUCUAGUGGCGCACGGGUGCGUAACGCGUGGGAACCUGCUCUUAGGUUCGGAAUAACUCCCCGAAAGGGGUGCUAAUACCGGAUAAUGUCUUCGGACCAAAGAUUUAUCGCCUUUGGAUGGGCCCGCGUUGGAUUAGCUAGUUGGUAGGGUAAAAGCCUACCAAGGCGACGAUCCAUAGCUGGUCUGAGAGGAUGAUCAGCCACACUGGGACUGAGGCACGGCCCAGACUCCUACGGGAGGCAGCAGUGGGGAAUAUUGGACAAUGGGCGAAAGCCUGAUCCAGCAAUGCCGCGUGAGUGAUGAAGGCCUUAGGGUUGUAAAGCUCUUUUACCCGGGAUGAUAAUGACAGUACCGGGAGAAUAAGCUCCGGCUAACUCCGUG
rnacentral:rRNA from 1 species